AUUAACGCGAAGAACCUUACCAGGUCUUGACAUCCGCUGACAAUCUUGGAGACAAGACGUUCCCUUCGGGGACAGCGUGACAGGUGGUGCAUGGUUGUCGUCAGCUCGUGUCGUGAGAUGUUGGGUUAAGUCCCGCAACGAGCGCAACCCUUGAUUCUAGUUGCCAGCAUUAAGUUGGGCACUCUAGAGUGACUGCCGGUGACAAACCGGAGGAAGGUGGGGAUGACGUCAAAUCAUCAUGCCCCUUAUGACCUGGGCUACACACGCGCUACAAUGGAUGGUACAAAGGGCAGCAAAGUCGCGAGGCUAAGCAAAUCCCAUAAAACCAUUCUCAGUUCGGAUUGCAGGCUGCAACUCGCCUGCAUGAAGCCGGAAUCGCUAGUAAUCGCGGAUCAGCAUGCCGCAGUGAAUACGUUCCCGGGCCUUGUACACACCGAAU
rnacentral:rRNA from 1 species